rnacentral:misc_RNA from 1 species
AUGGCUCACCUUAAAUGCAUUAGCUGGACUUGUUUGUGAGGAUCGGUUUGACUUGGCGUAAUAAGUAUUUCGCUGAGGACAUCUUUCGAGAUGGCCGAACUUCUCGACGUCUGUCUGCUUUCCAACCACGUUCUCCCUUGGGAGACAUGACUAUUUUAUUAUCUGGCCUCAAAUCAGGUAGGACUACCCGCUGAACUUAA